AAUCAACGCUGGCGGCGUGCCUAACACAAUGCAAGUCGAACGAGAAGGUGACUUCGGUCACUGGAUAGUGGCGUCCGGGUGAGUAACACGUAGGUAAUCUACCUUCGGGUGGGAAUAACGUCUCGAAAGAGACGCUAAUACCGCAUAAUGCAGCGGCACCUAAUGGUGAUUAGUUGUUAAAGCGGGGGAGUCUUCGGACCGUCGCGCCUCGAAGAGGAGCCUGCGGCAGAUUAGCUAGUUGGUGAGGUAAUGGCUCACCAAGGCUUCGAUCUGUAGCUGGUCUGAGAGGACGGCCAGCCACACUGGCACUGACACACGGGCCAGACUCCUACGGGAGGCAGCAGUGGGG
rnacentral:rRNA from 1 species